rnacentral:rRNA from 1 species
AUUGAACGCUGGCGGCAUGCCUUACACAUGCAAGUCGAACGGUAACAGGUCUUCGGAUGCUGACGAGUGGCGAACGGGUGAGUAAUACAUCGGAACGUGCCCGAUCGUGGGGGAUAACGGAGCGAAAGCUUUGCUAAUACCGCAUACGAUCUACGGAUGAAAGCAGGGGACCGCAAGGCCUUGCGCGGACGGAGCGGCCGAUGGCAGAUUAGGUAGUUGGUGGGAUAAAAGCUUACCAAGCCGACGAUCUGUAGCUGGUCUGAGAGGACGACCAGCCACACUGGGACUGAGACGCGGCCCAGACUCCUACGGGAGGCAGCAGUGGGGAAUUUUGGACAAUGGGCGAAAGCCUGAUCCAGCCAUGCCGCGUGCAGGAUGAAGGCCUUCGGGUUGUAAACUGCUUUUGUACGGAACGAAAAGACUCUUUCUAAUAAAGAGGGUCCAUGACGGUACCGUAAGGAUAAGCACCGGCUAACUACGUGCCAGCAGCCGCCGCGGUAA